GCAAAACGCGAAGAACCUUACCCACCUUUGACAUGUACGGAAUCCCUUAGAGAUAGAGGAGUGCUCGAAAGAGAGCCGUAACACAGGUGCUGCAUGGCUGUCGUCAGCUCGUGUCGUGAGAUGUUGGGUUAAGUCCCGCAACGAGCGCAACCCUUGCCAUUAGUUGCUACAUUUAGUUGAGCACUCUAAUGAGACUGCCGGUGACAAACCGGAGGAAGGUGGGGAUGACGUCAAGUCCUCAUGGCCCUUAUAGGUGGGGCUACACACGUCAUACAAUGGCUGGUACAAAGGGUUGCCAACCCGCGAGGGGGAGCUAAUCCCAUAAAGCCAGUCGUAGUCCGGAUCGCAGUCUGCAACUCGACUGCGUGAAGUCGGAAUCGCUAGUAAUCGUGGAUCAGAAUGUCACGGUGAAUACGUUCCCGGGUCUUGUACACACCG
rnacentral:rRNA from 1 species